UUGGGAAUCUUGGACAAUGGGGGAAACCCUGAUCCAGCCAUGCCGCGUGAGUGAUGAAGGCCUUCGGGUUGUAAAACUCUUUCGACGGGGACGAUAAUGACGGUACCCGUAGAAGAAGCUCCGGCUAACUUCGUGCCAGCAGCCGCGGUAAUACGAAGGGGGCUAGCGUUGUUCGGAAUUACUGGGCGUAAAGCGCGCGCAGGCGGCUAUCCAAGUCAGUGGUGAAAGCCCGGAGCUCAACUCCGGAACUGCCAUUGAAACUGUUUAGCUUGAGGAUGAGAGAGGUGAGUGGAAUUCCCAGUGUAGAGGUGAAAUUCGUAGAUAUUGGGAAGAACACCGGUGGCGAAGGCGGCUCACUGGCUCAUUACUGACGCUCAGGCGCGAUAGCGUGGGGAUCAAACAGGAUUAGAUACCCCCGUAGUCC
rnacentral:rRNA from 1 species